AUAGUUUAGUACAUAAGCUGGCGGAUAACAUACAUCCCCAGAGACAAGAGCCCAAAGAACAGGCAGCUAAAACCCACUCCGGGGUAACUUACGAAUUAAAUCGAACACACGGAUAAAUACUAUAGUCUGCAAUUAAAACAGGAACAAAAGACAUCCAUCUACUCAAAGACUAUGACAACUCCAAGCAUCCAACCAAACCUAUAGCAGCAAGCAAUGAUUCAGAUUA
rnacentral:lncRNA from 1 species